GUGGGGAAUAUUGGACAAUGGGCGCAAGCCUGAUCCAGCAAUUCCGCGUGAGCGAAGAAGGCCUUCGGGUUGUAAAGCUCUUUCGGCGGGGACGAUAAUGACGGUACCCGCAGAAGAAGCCCCGGCUAACUCCGUGCCAGCAGCCGCGGUAAUACGGAGGGGGCUAGCGUUGUUCGGAAUCACUGGGCGUAAAGCGCACGUAGGCGACUACUCCAGUCAGAGGUGAAAGCCCGGGGCUCAACUCCGGAAUUGCCUUUGAAACUAGGUAGCUUGAACGUCGGAGAGGUAAGUGGAAUUCCGAGUGUAGAGGUGAAAUUCGUAGAUAUUCGGAAGAACACCAGUGGAGAAGGCGACUUACUGGACGACUGUUGACGCUGAGGUGCGAAAGCGUGGGGAGCAAACAGGAUUAGAUACCCGAGUAGUCC
rnacentral:rRNA from 1 species